rnacentral:rRNA from 1 species
GAUGAACGCUGGCGGCGUGCCUAAUACAUGCAAGUCGAGCGAAUGGAUUAAGAGCUUGCCCUUAUGAAGUUAGCGGCGGACGGGUGAGUAACACGUGGGUAACCUGCCCAUAAGACUGGGAUAACUCCGGGAAACCGGGGCUAAUACCGGAUAACAUUUUGAACCGCAUGGUUCGAAAUUGAAAGGCGGCUUCGGCUGUCACUUAUGGAUGGACCCGCGUCGCAUUAGCUAGUUGGUGAGGUAACGGCUCACCAAGGCAACGAUGCGUAGCCGACCGGAGGGGGGGGUCGGCCACACUGGGACUGAGACACGGCCCAGACUCCUACGGGAGGCAGCAGUAGGGAAUCUUCCGCAAUAGACGAAAGUCUGACGGAGCAACGCCGCGUGAGUGAUGAAGGCUUUCGGGUCGUAAAACUCUGUUGUUAGGGAAGAACAAGUGCUAGUUGAAUAAGCUGGCACCUUGACGGUACCUAACCAGAAAGCCACGGCUAACUACGUGCCAGCCGCCGCCGUAA